rnacentral:rRNA from 1 species
UACGUAGGGCGCAAGCGUUAUCCGGAAUUAUUGGGCGUAAAGAGCUCGUAGGCGGUUUGUCGCGUCUGCUGUGAAAACCCGAGGCUCAACCUCGGGCCUGCAGUGGGUACGGGCAGACUAGAGUGCGGUAGGGGAGAAUGGAAUUCCUGGUGUAGCGGUGAAAUGCGCAGAUAUCAGGAGGAACACCGGUGGCGAAGGCGGAUCUCUGGGCCAUUACUGACGCUGAGGAGCGAAAGCGUGGGGAGCGAACGGG